AUACGUAGGGGGCGAGCGUUGUCCGGAAUGAUUGGGCGUAAAGGGCGCGUAGGCGGCCCGGUAAGUCUGGAGUGAAAGUCCUGUUUUUAAGAUGGGAAUUGCUUUGGAUACUGUCGGGCUUGAGUGCAGGAGAGGUAAGUGGAAUUCCCAGUGUAGCGGUGAAAUGCGUAGAGAUUGGGAGGAACACCAGUGGCGAAGGCGACUUACUGGACUGUAACUGACGCUGAGGCGCGAAAGUGCGGGGAGCAAACAGGAUUAGAUACCCUGGUAGUCCACACUGUAAACGAUGAAUGCUAGGUGUAGGGGGUAUCGACCCCUUCUGUGCCGCAGUCAACACAAUAAGCAUUCCGCCUGGGGAGUACGGCCGCAAGGUUGAAACUCAAAUGAAUUGACGGGG
rnacentral:rRNA from 1 species